rnacentral:lncRNA from 1 species
CGGGCGGCAGACAGAGAGCUGGAGCACGGCCUCUGUGUUCACGCCGGUUACCUUCAUGAUGGAUCGCCGAGCACGCCCCUAGAUGGACUGCGUAGCCGGUCAUUCCAGUCUGCUGUUCGAUAGUUACUUUGUACCUUUGGACUUAAUCUACGUGGAACGGAAAUAUCACUAAGGAUUGAAAUGGAAACCUGGAGAGGUUGAUGGCCCCUGUGCUCACACAACCAACUGAAAAUCCCGGGCAGCUACAACAAGGCUGAAUUCUAUCCAUCAGAAGUGAACGAGACAGAAGAGUUAACUUCCUGCAUCAUUUUCACCCCUAGGUGAUGAAGACUGACCAGUUAGACUGGUCACUGGCGUCCACCAUAAAGAUGGCCACAACAAAUACAACCAGCCCCACUAUAGAUAAUUUGAUGGAAAACGACCACCACUGGCAACACGAGACUGGAAGUACAGACACUUGGAUUUAGGCUCCUGCCAAUGACACGGAAUACGAUCUCAAGUUACUCACUUGGCCUUUCCGAGCCCCAGUCUCCACUUCUGUCAAUUGUAGUUGGGAGUAAGUGACUUCUAUUUUUUUUAUUUGGCAUUGUUGUUGAUUCUUAUUCCAGCCACGCCUUCCAGUGAUGGAGUGGAGCAAGAUCUGGCGCUGUGAGGAGACGAGGUCCUGGCGGAGAGGCUGGAAGCACACGGAGGGGUUCUGACACCAGGCGAGUGUGCAGAUGCUCAGGAGUGAACAGAGACCUAAGGAGGAGCCACAGCCGAAUGCACUGUAGAAGGCCUUAGAGGAGGCUGAGGCCCGAGGGCUCCCCCAGAUCAGGGUCACCCCAACACCAUGACUGUCCUCAGACUCAGCCAGCUGCCCAUGUUCCCCGUACCGCACAGAAGCAGCUCAGGAACCGAGUGCGUCUGAGUCUGAAGGUUCGAGACAUCGAGAACUACAACUGAUCAAUAUCACUUCAAAGCUGUUGGUGAAUAUUGUUAGUUCCGGAAUCAUUUAUUGCUGAGUUUUAAUCACCUUUGAAAAACUCAUCUACUUUGUGGCAUACCUCCUUUAUUCUGACAAACUCACUAGGCUGUCCCUCAUGCUCUGUCUGCAGCGAUACAGCCAGCUUCCCGCGGCAGAAACUGCUAACCCUCCUUCCUCUUAGUAGGAGAACCCCUGAGUUUUGUCUGGUCACGUGGCUGUGCAACUUUAUUUCUCAGCAUCCCAGGCAGCAAGAUGUGGGCUACAGAAAACCAAGUUUUGCUGAUGGGAUGUGAGCAGAAAUGAUGUGUGCGACUCCAGCAUCAUCUUCUUAAAGAUAGAGAGAGAGCCUUGCUUGCGACUCCCUCUCUCCCUCUUUCUUCCCUGGCUGGAUAGUGGCUACAACUGCAGUGGCAUCCUUGACUCAAAGAACGGCAGGAGCAACAGCCUGGGUCCCAGGACGGUCUCACCAAGUGGAGUCCACCCGCCAGUUUACGACUGGAACGUGAAAGAAAAACCACCACUGUUGGGCCCAGUAGUUCUGCUUUACAGCAGUGUAGCCUGCACUCGGAUUCACCCGUCUGUCGAGUGCUACCUCGUGCCCACACUGUCCUGUGAACACUUGUGCUCAGUGUCUCAUUCAGCUCUCUUAACCACCCUGUCAAGACAGCACUAAUGUCCCUGCUUGGCAGAUCGCUAAACUGAGGUUCAGACAGGGUGAGGAACUUACUCACAAUUUCACAGCUGCUGAACGGCGUAAGGAGUCCACUGCAGAGCUGGCUCCCUACACAGUCCUGCUCUAUCUCCCACGUUUUGCUGCUGAGCCCUUAGGAAUUUGUUCCUCCUGCUGGCGUGGCCUUGCAGAAGUGUUGGUUGAACAUGGGAAAACGUUCACUUCCCCAAAUCCUACUUUCUUUAUCAAAAAGAGAGUUGAUACCCGUUGUUACUAAAGGUAACAGAACAAGUGGGAUGGGCCAUUUCCAGUUUUCUUUUUUCCUCCUUUGAUUCUCUCUGCAUUUUCUUCUUGCAACAUUCUUAACGAGGUUCUAGCUCUCUGGACCCAAGGAGUCAUUUUCUGUAAUAAGUUCCCUGUUCUGAUUUAUAACCGAGGGGAAGUUCUAAGACUGUUGGAAGAAUUAAACUUCUUGCUCUGUAAGAUUCUUUUUGCUAGUAUAUAUUUUUUAAUUAUAGGAGAACGUCCUCAGAAUAUAUAAAUAUAAUCUCUAUCUACAUGCACAGCACGAUGGUGGGUCUAUUGCUUUAUUCGUCUGGGACGCCUCAGCCGCGGGGAGCUGAGUUAGAACUGAAUUCUAGCAGAGUUGUGCUUUACUUUAUGGCUUAGAACCGGGAAGCGCCGAGGUUAAAAGCACGCUGAUAGCUUGAGGAAACAGUUGAGUGUGUGGUGCUGGGAGAGAGGAUGCGGUCUAAGUCAUACAAAAAACAAAUAUUUGAGUCCACUGAUUGUCAGGCACCAUACGAGGCUACACAAAUAAAUAAGACACAGGCUUCAUGUACAAGGUGUUUGAUUUCUGCUUUUUAAUUUAUCUGAGUUAUUAUAGGUUUUAUUUUUUGGGUCUUCUGUGUUGUAGCCUAUGGAAAAUAUAGUUUUCUUUUUAGAAAAAGAGCUUUGAGAGGUAAUAAUGUGCUGACCUGGAACCAGCUCAUCCCUCAUUGAUGUCACUAUUCAAAACGGCAGGGCCUGCUUGCACUACUCAGAGGGAAGAAUGAAAAGGGACAUAAAUCAGGAGGAAGGACGAAUGGAAUCUGAGGUGUUCGGGGGCAGAAGACGGGAGUUUGCUUCAGAAACUCGAAUGAAAUAGAAUCUGACAUAGAUCUUCUGAAUCCGACAAUCUGGGCUUGCAGCUUGGCCGUGCCCCACGGCUUCAGACAACCUCCUCCAACGCUGAGCGCACACUUGUUCAAAACUGACCAUGUGCCCGACGCUGAACAGAGCGUCUGCUGUGGUGAACGUCCCAGGUGGAGUGCCUGCCCUCGUGUGGGCUCAGUGGUAAAUAACUGAAGAAAUAAAGCCCCGAAGGGAAUGGGUACGUACCCUUUAGAGAGGGUGGCAAGGAAGACCUCUCUGAGAAGGUGUCAUUUGAGCUGAGACCCAAAUGAAGCAGAUUCUUUCCCCUCUGAGCUUUAGUUUUCUCAUCCAUACAAUGAAAGACAACAAAGGUCCACCUCCCAG